AGUGAACGCUGGCGGUAGGCCUAACACAUGCAAGUCGAACGGCAGCACAGUAAGAGCUUGCUCUUACGGGUGGCGAGUGGCGGACGGGAGAGGAAUACAACGGAAUCUACUUUUUCGUGGGGGAUAACGUAGGGAAACUUACGCUAAUACCGCAUACGAGCUACGGGGGAAAGCAGGGGAAGUUCGGACCGUGCGGGAUUGAAUGAGCCGAUGUCGGAUUAGCUUGUUGGGGGGGUAAAGGCCCACCAAGGCGAGGAACCGUAGCUGGUCGGAGGGGAGGGUCGCCGGCCCUGGAACUUGACCACCGUCCAUGCUCCUACGGGAGGCAGCAGUGGGGAAUAUUGGACAAUGGGCGCAAGCCUGAUCCAGCCAUACCGCGUCGGUGAAGAAGGCCUUCCGGUUGUGAAGCCCUUUUGUUGGGAAAGAAAAGCAGCAGGUUAAUACCCCGCUGUUCUGACGGUACCCAAAGAAUAAGCACCGGCUAACUUCGUG
rnacentral:rRNA from 1 species